rnacentral:rRNA from 1 species
GAUCCUGGCUUAGGAUGAACGCUAGCGGCAGGCUUAACACAUGCAAGUCGAGGGGCAGCGGGUGUAGCAAUACAGUGCCGGCGACCGGCGAAAGGGUGAGUAACGCGUGAGCAACGUGCCCGUAUGUGGGGGAUAGUCAUUGGAAACGAUGCGUAAUACCCCGUAACACAAAUCUUCGCAUGGGGAUUUGUGAAAGAUUUAUUGCAUACGGAUCGGCUCGCGUGCCAUUAGGUAGACGGCGGGGUAACGGCCCACCGUGCCGACGAUGGCUAGGGGUUCUGAGAGGAAGGUCCCCCACAUUGGAACUGAGACACGGUCCAGACUCCUACGGGAGGCAGCAGUGAGGAAUAUUGGACAAUGGCCGGAAGGCUGAUCCAGCCAUGCCGCGUGCGGGAAGAACCGGCCCUAUGGGUUGUAAACCGCUUUUGCGGGGGAGCAAUAAGGUGCACGUGUGCACCGAUGAGAGUACCCUGCGAAUAAGCAUCGGCUAACUCCGUGCCAGCCGCUGC